UCGACGGGAGGAAAAAGAAGCUUGCUUCUUUUUGAAUCUAGUGGCAAACGGGUGAGUAACACGUAAACAACCUGCCUUCAGGAUGGGGACAACAGACGGAAACGACUGCUAAUACCGAAUGUGUUCCGGAGACCGCAUGAUUUCCGGAAGAAAGGAUGGCCUCUAUUUAUAAGCUAUCGCCUGAAGAGGGGUUUGCGUCUGAUUAGGCAGUUGGUGAGGUAACGGCCCACCAAACCUACGAUCAGUAGCCGGUCUGAGAGGAUGAACGGCCACACUGGAACUGAGACACGGUCCAGACUCCUACGGGAGGCAGCAGUGGGGAAUCUUCCGCAAUGGACGAAAGUCUGACGGAGCAACGCCGCGUGAGUGAUGACGGCCUUCGGGUUGUAAAGCUCUGUGAUCGGGGACGAAUGGCUGGUGCGUUAAUACCGCAUCAGAGUGACGGUACCCGAAUAGCAAGCCACGGCUAACUACGUGCCAGCAGCCGCGGUAAUACGUAGGUGGCAAGCGUUGUCCGGAAUUAUUGGGCGUAAAGCGCGCGCAGGCGGCUUCUUAAGUCCAUCUUAAAAGUGCGGGGCUUAACCCCGUGAUGGGAUGGAAACUGGGAGGCUGGAGUAUCGGAGAGGAAAGUGGAAUUCCUAGUGUAGCGGUGAAAUGCGUAGAGAUUAGGAAGAACACCGGUGGCGAAGGCGACUUUCUGGACGACAACUGACGCUGAGGCGCGAAAGCGUGGGGAGCAAACAGGAUUAGAUACCCUGGUAG
rnacentral:rRNA from 1 species